rnacentral:rRNA from 1 species
AUUGAACGCUGGCGGCAGGCCUAACACAUGCAAGUCGAGCGGGGUUUUCGGACCUAGCGGCGGACGGGUGAGUAAUGCGUAGGAAGCUACCCGAUAGAGGGGGAUACCAGUUGGAAACGACUGUUAAUACCGCAUAAUGUCUACGGACCAAAGUGUGGGACCUUCGGGCCACAUGCUAUCGGAUGCGCCUACGUGGGAUUAGCUAGUUGGUGAGGUAAUGGCUCACCAAGGCGACGAUCUCUAGCUGGUUUGAGAGAAUGAUCAGCCACACUGGAACUGAGACACGGUCCAGACUCCUACGGGAGGCAGCAGUGGGGAAUAUUGGACAAUGGGCGCAAGCCUGAUCCAGCCAUGCCGCGUGUGUGAAGAAGGCCUUCGGGUUGUAAAGCACUUUCAGCGAGGAGGAAGAGUUGUGUGUUAAUAGUACACAGCUUUGACGUUACUCGCAGAAGAAGCACCGGCUAACUCUGUGCCAGCAGCCGCCGCCGUAA